rnacentral:rRNA from 1 species
CCUACGGGGGGCAGCAGUAGGGAAUCUUCCACAAUGGGCGCAAGCCUGAUGGAGCAACACCGCGUGAGUGAAGAAGGGUUUCGGCUCGUAAAGCUCUGUUGUUGGAGAAGAACGUGCGUGAGAGUAACUGUUCACGCAGUGACGGUAUCCAACCAGAAAGUCACGGCUAACUACGUGCCAGCAGCCGCGGUAAUACGUAGGUGGCAAGCGUUAUCCGGAUUUAUUGGGCGUAAAGCGAGCGCAGGCGGUUGCUUAGGUCUGAUGUGAAAGCCUUCGGCUUAACCGAAGAAGUGCAUCGGAAGCCGGGCAACUUGAGUGCAGAAGAGGACAGUGGAACUCCAUGUGUAGCGGGGGAAUGCGUAGAUAUAUGGAAGAACACCAGUGGCGAAGGCGGCUGUCUGGUCUGCAACUGACGCUGAGGCUCGAAAGCAUGGGUAGCGAACAGGAUUAGAUACCCGGGUAGUC